UACGUAGGGGGCGAGCGUUGUCCGGAUUUAUUGGGUCGUAAAACGCUUGUAGGCGGCCACGCCAAGUCGGAUGUGAAAUCUCCCGGCUUAACUGGGAGGGGUCAUCCGAUACUGGCGGGCUCGAGGGCAGGUAGGGGGAAGCGGAAUUCCCGGUGUAGUGGUGGAAUGCGUAGAUAUCGGGAGGAACACCAGUGGCGAAGGCGGGCUUCCUGGACCUGUU
rnacentral:rRNA from 1 species